rnacentral:lncRNA from 1 species
AUCAAAUUGAUCAAUUUUAUUGACCACUGCUUGCAAUGCUUUGGUUGCCAAAGCUUCCUUUCGAUCAUUUCUUUGUUGUUCCUGCAUUGAUAAUGACAAGGCUUGAAACAUACUAGCAAUAGACGAAUCCAUGUGCAUACCUUGUCCUUUAGAAGAACCCCCACCAGAAACUCCUCCCAAAGAUGCUUCAAAAUUUUUAUUUUCGUUUUCCAUAAAAAUAAAAAUAAAAUCAAAUAAAAUCCAAUACCUUCCACCUUAAGCUUUCACGUUGGUUUCACCACUUUAAUGUUGUAUUACGUGCUUUUCUGCUCGAGAACGCGUCGGGCGUCUAGCUGUAGAAGGGAGUAUGGAGAUUCGCCAAUAGUCAAGCAGUCUAUCAGUUUUUGACUAUUGGAAUAUAAACAAUUGUAAGAAUAUAUCAUAAAUUUGUACAGAUUCCCUUCGACUGCUCGCCGAAGUCCUUUUUGCCCCAGCCGGUAGGUCUCUAGA